rnacentral:rRNA from 1 species
UACGUAGGGUGCGAGCGUUGUCCGGAAUUACUGGGCGUAAAGAGCUCGUAGGUGGUUUGUCGCGUUGUCCGUGAAAACUCACAGCUUAACUGUGGGCGUGCAGGCGAUACGGGCAGACUGGAGUACUGCAGGGGAGACUGGAAUUCCUGGUGUAGCGGUGGAAUGCGCAGAUAUCAGGAGGAACACCGGUGGCGAAGGCGGGUCUCUGGGCAGUAACUGACGCUGAGGAGCGAAAGCGUGGGGAGCGAACAGG